UAUUAUAUAUUGAUAUUAGCACGCUAAAAGAAAAAAUAAAUGAAACAAAAUGUUCUUCUUUUGGCGUUUAGUGAUGGGACAGUUAAAGUGCAUUUAUCAAAUCAUAUCAUUUCCCCCAGCCUGCAAAAACUGAUCUCUUCUGACUCCUUUGCAGUUCCUUCCUUUGUAGUCCUUUUGUUUGCUAUUUUCCCACAAUCAUACCACUAAAUGCCCGCCCUCUUUUCCGACGUUUAUUGGGUUUUGUUUUGUUUUUUGUUUUUCAUUCUUGAAAAAUAUUGUUCUUUUUGAUAUAGUCAAUAGCAUUUUUUUUAUUGAAAAUUUCAAUAAAAGGAAAAGGGGAUUGUAUUUUUAAUCGUCUGUUGAUGUUGUCAUUGCGGUGUUCUAGGUUGUCAUGAUGGUGAUGGGUUGGCGGCCUUUGGGUUCCCGGGAUAGUCUUUUCUGGAUUCUUUGUCAUGCAUGAUCAUCGCUUUCUUUUCUCUUGUUCCUCUUUGUUUAAGUUUUGUCUUUUUCCUUCCUGGGUCUGGCUCAGAAUUCAGGUUUCUUUGGCCCUUGUGUGGAUUUCUUGUGGCAGAGAAAUGCGGAUUUCAAAGCAAGAUUCUGAUAUCAAAGGGACAUUUUUUUAUGUCAUUUCUUUUGGUAUGUGCUAAAUCUGUUGUUGAAUUCUUCUAUGGUCUCUUUUCAAUGAGGUUGGUUGUGAGAGGGCUGUAAGUUUGUGAAUUUUAAAUGGACUUGUCCUCUAACUGUAAGCCUUCGAGGGUAUUUGGCUGCCAUUUGACUUCUGUAACAUGCAGAUGUCUUGCUUUGGUCACUAUUGCUCUGUUUUUCAGAGUUAUAUUGCUUCAUUCAUUUUCUGCCAACGGUGCGAUUGAAUGGAACAAUCUGGAUUUUAUUCUAAGCCGUUCUUUGUUGUUGAAUUCUGAUGGUGGGAUUCGUAGAGAUAAGUUCUUGGACGCUCCUCAAAUUGUGUGGGGACUGAACAAUCAGAAGAUAGCUUUUGCAAGAGCUUGUCUAACUGCUAGAAUGCUGAACCGAACUCUUUUGAUGCCAAGCUUGAGUGCUUCACUUUUCUACAAGGAAAUUGACCGCUUGCAGCCUAUUUCCUUUGAUAAAGUCUUCCAGUUUGAUAGGUUUAAUUCACUUUGUACUGGGUUUGUGCGGUUGGGUCGGUACUCGGAUCUUAAGAAUCAAUCAGGAAUAUAUGAUCUCCAAAAGGGAAGUGGAAGAAAGUGGACUGUUGAGAGAGACCUGGAGCAGUUGAAGCGAAGUAGCGGAGGUCCAGCUGAUAAGUAUGAAGUGAUUAGAAUUGUUGGAAAGAAUCCGUUUCUAUGGCAUGAUCAUUGGCCUGCUAAAGACUAUGCAAGGGUCUUUGAGUGCUUAGCUUUGGUUGAUGAGAUAGUAAAAGAAGCAGAUAAAGUUGUGUCCAAGAUUAGGCAGAUAGGAACAAAGCUUAGGAGCAAAACUGGGCCAGUAGAAAACAAUUUUGAUGCAGAGGGUUCUUCACUGCCACCAGCUCCUUACGUAGCAGUCCAUAUGAGAGUAGAGAUAGACUGGAUGAUUCACUGCAAGAAAUUAGAGCUAAGAUCAGGCAUAAGCCAAAUUUGUAGUAGCAAGCAAGAAAUUAUGGAAAGAGUGGGGAAAAUUGUCAGCUUUGAAUCUCCCACUGUUGUUUAUCUUGCUGUUGCUGAUAGCCUCCUCAAUGAUUCUUCAAUAUUGGGUGGUUGGAAGAAAGGAUUGCUUCCUUUUGAGAAGAAAAAAUUAGGGGUUGAUGGAAUCUACAAGAAGUAUCCAUAUCUCAUUCAGUCAGCUAUUGACUAUGAAGUGUGCUCAAGGGCUGAUAUAUUUGUAGGGAACAGUUUUUCCACUUUUUCUAGCAUCGUGGUUCUUGAGAGAACACAAAAGAUGAUCAGAAUAGGCACCACAAGCUCAUGUGGCAUUGAUGUUAGGUGGCCAUCUUAUGCAUACAAUAUACCAGAUGAAUCAAAUGGGCCUCAGAAAUGGAUGACUAAUAUGUCUGAUUCAAGUCUCAAAGCAAUUAGUUAUGGUUCUAAUGUCAUCUCAUGUUGAAGUUUGUCCCUGCACAAUUCCCCACUUGCUGAUGAUAUUAUCACUGUUCAGCAAUUUUUGAACCCAAUUGAUCCUGCUGGUUGAAUGGUUCUACGGAUAUAUACUGUAAAGAAAAGCAAUAGGAGAGAAUAUCGAGAUACAGUGGAAUACUGAAAUAGAAAAAAGUACGUCCAUGACCUGCCUGUAACCAGAACAAGUGAAAGUGAAAUGGAUCUUUAAAGAAAGGGAAAUGUGCAGUGACAAGGUUGUGAAAUCCCAAAUAUAGUAUAUCUGCAGAAUGUGACUUACGGGCAACAUGGUAUUGUUGAUUCCCAUGUGAAGCUGAGAAGAUGUUCUUGGGUUCAUAGUCUUGAGGCUAUCCUCUCGGAGAGCAGUUGCCAACGACUCCAUGGAAUCACUUCUGUUGUCAAGAGGAAAAACUGCUAGAGGGAGAGAGCUAGUCAAAUGCACAUGCCACCCCACCGAAUAAUACAUUUAUAAAAAGGAAAAAAAAGAGGUGGGGGAUAGUAUGCACUAGGAAUAUUAAUUUUAUACUAUAGUAGCUGAAACUUUGAAAACUGAAAAUAAAGACAACAGUGGGGAUACUAAGCCCAGGGUCUGCCGAAAAAUAUUGAAACUCUUGUGCCAUUUCUCAUUCCCUAGGGAAAAGUCAAAUUGCAUGUGCUGGUGCCUCUCUCUUCCAAGUCUUGCUGGGAAGGUUAUGUAAUAUUCAUUAAUACCAAUUAAGAAUGUACGAAAUAAACAACACAAUCUGUAAUACUUUGGAUUUGGAUUCUCUAAGAUAUCCCAACAUAGUAAUGGACUUCGCUUGGCACAAUUGAUGCUGUCUGUCCAUGGUACUAGUCUAGUUCACCAGGCACAAUUGGCAAUUCAAAUCAAAGAACAAAGAUCCUGAUCUCACUCCAUAAUGCAAGCCAAUCCUUAUUCCAUUUUGGAGCCUUGGAACCCCAUAUAACCCAGUCUAAGCGGCUGUUGAAACAGUUAAACAGAAAAGUGACUCCUCAAAUGGGUCAUUGUUCGAUCCGUUUUGGAAAAUACUGGUACUGAUCAGUAUAACCCUAUGCCUGUGAGCAGCUAUUUUGUUUGCUAAUACAGGACCAGACAGUUGAACUGUUAUUAAUAACCAUAUGGCCAGCCAUUUCUGCUAAAUAGACCUCUGUCGGCGGGAGGGUAAAGUAAUACUAAAGAGAGACUAAAAUGAAAUAGAGUCCUACUAGAACCAGAAUAGCAACUAAUGUCUCCGGAAGAGUAGCCUGACCCCAUCAUAAUGCUGAGCAAUUAGAACUGCGCUACAACAUCAUAUUCAUAAUGAGCUCAGUGAAACCAAGAGAAUUCCUGUAACUUGAACAUGAAUGGAAGGAGAAAAGAAAACAGCUUUCUUAGCAAUAGUAAUGCAAAAUAUUGCAUUCAAGAGAGGCCAUGUCAAAAAGAAAAGAUUUGUUUCAUUAACUUUCUUUCAAUUUGAUGACAUUACUAAGAUCUUUACCCUAU